rnacentral:rRNA from 1 species
AUUGAACGCUGGCGGCAGGCUUAACACAUGCAAGUCGAGCGGAGAUGAGGUGCUUGCACCUUAUCUUAGCGGCGGACGGGUGAGUAAUGCUUAGGAAUCUGCCUAUUAGUGGGGGACAACAUUCCGAAAGGAAUGCUAAUACCGCAUACGCCCUACGGGGGAAAGCAGGGGAUCUUCGGACCUUGCGCUAAUAGAUGAGCCUAAGUCGGAUUAGCGAGUUGGUGGGGUAAAGGCCUACCAAGGCGACGAUCUGUAGCGGGUCUGAGAGGAUGAUCCGCCAACCUGGGACUGAGACACGGCCCAGACUCCUACGGGAGGCAGCAGUGGGGAAUGUUGGAAAAUGGGCGGAAGCCUGAUCCAGCCAUGCCGCGUGUGUGAAGAAGGCCUUUUGGUUGUAAAGCACUUUAAGCGAGGAGGAGGCUACCUGGAUUAAUACUCUAGGAUAGUGGACGUUACUCGCAGAAUAAGCACCGGCUAACUCUGUGCCAGCCGCCGCCGUAACAC